GGUUUAAGCUGAAUGAGCUCGUUGUCUUGCAGUAAUUAUUUCUUUGCUGUGUUAGUACUGUAACAGAAGAAAUAUUGCUUUUGAAUUGGUUUUACGACUGAGGCCUCAAGUAGAUAUGUAUAGAAAUUUUCUUUCUAUUGUAAAACAUGCAAAUAUCAAGAAACGAAUGUGUCUUUGUUCUUCAAUUCACAACAGUAGUGGAACACGCCUUUAUCUGAAGAAUCAUUUUUCAUAUUUAGGAAAAAAGCUUGUGGCAACUGUCUUCUCUGAACAGCGAUCUUGUGAACAUGGGCCUCAGUACAAUAAAGAGGACACUUCACACCCUACAACCCGUAAAAAUAACCCAUGUUUGACAGAAAACUA